GAGUUGAUCAUGGCUCAGGAUGAACGCUAGCUACAGGCUUAACACAUGCAAGUCGAGGGGCAGCAUGAUCUAAGCUUGCUUAGAUUGAUGGCGACCGGCGCACGGGUGAGUAACGCGUAUCCAACCUUCCCUAUAGUAGAGGAUAGCCCGGCGAAAGUCGGAUUAAUACUCUAUGUUUUCCAAUGCAGACAUCUAAGUUGGAACAAAGGUUUACCGCUAUAGGAUGGGGAUGCGUCUGAUUAGAUUGUAGGCGGGGUAACGGCCCACCUAGUCGACGAUCAGUAGGGGUUCUGAGAGGAAGGUCCCCCACAUUGGAACUGAGACACGGUCCAAACUCCUACGGGAGGCAGCAGUGAGGAAUAUUGGUCAAUGGGCGAGAGCCUGAACCAGCCAAGUAAGCGUGCAGGAUGACGGCCCUAUGGGUUGUAAACUGCUUUUAUCGGGGGAUAAAGUGAGGGACGUGUCCCUUAUUGUAGGUACCCGAUGAAUAAGGACCGGCUAAUUCCGUGCCAGCCGCGGC
rnacentral:rRNA from 1 species